CACCACUCCAUAGUCUGAGGUCCUAAACUUAAAGAGUAAAGGUAAGUUGAGUAUUUGAUUCAUCCCUCUCUGCCUCCCUGUGGUGGUUGCAAUGUAAGCAGGCACUUCAUGCUCUGCAGCCUUGAACUGUGAGCCAAAAUAAACCCUCCCUCCCUUAAGCUGCUUCUUUCUGGCAUUUGUUACAGCUAUGAGGAAAGUGACAUCCUACAGGAAGAAAUCUCCAUGUCCAAAAGCAUCAAUGGCUGCCUGAAGAGGGUACCCACAACAAUGUGUUUUGAUUCAUAGAGGCUGGAGACAACAUGGAUCACAGUUCCCAUGGAAAUCUCUGCCAGUGUUUUUGCUUGAUUCAGCCAAUUAUCUUAGCAACCAUCAACAGCACCUUGCCUCCUCCCCUUCCCGUGACAAGCACAUUCUUAGCUCAUUUUAGUUGAAAAAGAAGCCCAUCUGUUCGGUGAUAUUAAAUUCAGAGAGGUGUUCUUGUGAAAUGUUUGGCCUUCUCUUUUAAACGCUUGACAAUAUGCCACAGUUACAAGAGGAGAAUGAAGGAAAGAGAGAAGAGAAGAGUCUAAGAAAAUUAGUUUAUUUCCUAUAUUCCCUGGGGCUCUUGGUUACGAAUUACUGAUAAUUUCUUAUCCUUAUGAUAAUGAUGGGGCUCCAGGAAAGAAAAAUGUUCCAAAUGAAGACAGGAUGUUGGAUGAGACUGGGAUUUCAGUCCUAGACACUACAGAAAGAAAGCCAACCCAUCACAACCAAUUAUCUCAAAGACAAAGCCUAUUGGAAACAUCUAGAGUCACGUGACGGUCCGGAUGGUGAGAGCCAAAGUGAUCGCUAGAAAGCUGAAUGCUGAGAUCAGAGUCCUGAUGGCUGCUCACCCCUCUGCGGCCUAUUUACAGAGAUUCAAUGUGACCAGUUGGUUCAAGCUCUUGUCACCAUGGCCAUGGCUUCUUCAGUGUAAUGGAGUGUUCUUUUGAACUCUGAGGCAAAUAAAUUCUUCCUUCCUUGAGUUGCUUCUGCUGGGGUAUGUGGCAGUUUGACUAUGUUUUGUCCAUGGGAGGUGGCACUGUUAGGAGG
rnacentral:sRNA from 1 species